GCAUUUAACAUCAUAUGAGACUUGGACAUUGGUCAUUAAGGCAUUCAUACCACACUUUUUUUUUUUUUGUACUUUCCAUUUGCUGCUGUAUGCUUGUCUCUGAUUCUUAGCAGGAAAAAGGGAAAUGAUUAAUCUUUUUUGUAUGAUUUAAGAAACUUGAUCUGUUUUAAGGAACUUUCAAACUCAAUUAUCAUCUUCUCCAGCAGAUCAUAGCUUUAUGGAGGUGCAGAAAGAUAAAAGCAGUGCAGGACCCUCAGCCAUGGCCUGCAAGCUUUGAAGCCCACUCCCACCAGGUUUUUGUAGAUUCUCGAAGAGUAGCAAAAGCUCACACGAAACUACUCGGUUUGUUUAACCUUUAAAUCACAUAUUCUCAUUGCCUAUUAAGCUUCAAUAAUUCAUGCAAAUUUCAUUUCCUUUUUCGGUGUUUAGCUUUUUCAUUACUGUUGCCUCCUUAUUCUUUCGAUAAAUCUUAAGUUUGAAGCUUUGUUUCAUCGUAAAUAUUAAUGUUUAUCGUGAAUUAACGAAAAGUGUAAGGAAAAUCCACGUGGCAUAGGCCACAGGAGUUGGACAAAUACAUAAAAGGUCAUUUCAAAGGGCAAGGAUUGUGGAUCCUUUGAGAUUGAGCUGUCUGGGCAAAGCAAUGUGAAGUGUUUCCCACAACAAUUUCUUCCUACUACUCCCAUACUAUAAACUUCUCCUUGCAACCAAUCUCUUUUCACUUAUACUCAAAUCACACAAAAAUCUUUUCGGAAAGAGUUAGACCCGUCUUCGACUGUUCUAAAAUUUGAUGAUGCUACUAAUAAGUUGGUGUAUCAGAUAUUUAUAUGUGAUUUUGAAAAGUAUACAGACCGUGUAAAAUCAAGUGAGAAGAGAACUGUGGACAAUGUGCACAUAAAUUAUUUUGUUUGUUUAAGUGAAAAUUGAAAUGAAACUCAAAUUUGUGUUAAAAUA